UACGGGGGGGGCAAGCGUUGUUCGGAAUUACUGGGCGUAAAGGGCUCGUAGGCGGCCAACUAAGUCAGACGUGAAAUCCCUCGGCUUAACCGGGGAACUGCGUCUGAUACUGGAUGGCUUGAGUUUGGGAGAGGGAUGCGGAAUUCCAGGUGUAGCGGUGAAAUGCGUAGAUAUCAGGAAGAACACCCGUGGCGAAAGCGGCUCUCUGGAACGGUACUGACGCUGAGACGCGAAAGCGUGGGGAGCGAACAGG
rnacentral:rRNA from 1 species